UUUGUUCUUCUAUUUCUGACAGUGGCUAGACUGUCCUAUAAGCCUGUGUGUCAGGGGUGCUGUAGACCUGUUUUCCUGUUUUCUUUCAGCCAGUUAUGGGAACAGAGUGUUCUGCUGUCGGGCGUGUAGUUUUUCCUAUCUACAGGUCUUCAGCUGUUCCUGUGGGCCUGUGUCCUGAAUUCACUAGGCAGGUCACUUGGAAAAGGAAGGUUUGUCUUACCUGUGGUCCCGAGGCUCAAGUUUGCUCGUGGGGUGUUGCUUAUGAGCUCACCACUGUGGCAGCAACCAGGAAGAUCUGCCAAUUAUGAUGCUUUUUAACUUGAGAGUUUAGAACUGGGCAUGAUGAGUCACACCUAUAAUCCCAGCACUCAGGAUGUUAAGGUUCCAGUUUAUCGUCCCUAAAGAAUGGAACAGCAGAUACAGACCUGUGUGCAUUCAUCUGGCUGGAACAGGAGACCAUCAUUAUUGGAGGCGCAGAACGCUCAUGGCUCGUCCCAUGAUUAAGGAGGCCAGAAUGGCUUCAUUGUUGCUAGAAAACCCUUAUUAUAUCCUUUUGUGAUACUUAAAACAUUUCUUUCUCUCUUUGUUUAUAUAUUUACUCUUCAAAAGAAGAACAUCCGGUGCUCUCAGCCAAUGAGCCAUCUCUCCAGCUCCCAUGGAAGCCCAAGGACCAAGUAAGAUCCAGCUUAAAAAAUGUGUCUGACCUAUUUGUGAUGGGAGGCGCUCUUAUUCUUGAGUCUGCAGCUCUCCUGCACUGGCUGGAGAGGGAAGGUUAUGGACCUCUUGGGAUGACUGGGAUAUCCAUGGGAGGACAUGUGAGUCUUUGCAGCUUUUUUUCAUUACCAUCAUAUUUAUAAAUAGGAGUGAUUUUAAUUGUACUUGAAGCAUGAAUUUAACGUCAGUGAAAGUAGGAAGUAGAGACAGUUCCAGUAAGAAAGUAAUGUUAUUUUGUAUAAUUUAUGUAGACAAGCUGAUAUUGUACAACUUCAGGUAUAGCUCAGACUUUGGAUUUCGUGUUUUAUUAAAAGUUGAUUACAGCUGGACAGUGGUGCUGAACACCUUUAAUCCCCCAUUUCCUCCCAGAUGCCCACUAACUUCCUACCCACCCAAUCCACACCAUUUAUUUUUCUUUGAAAACUGAGCAGAGUCAGCUGGUA
rnacentral:lncRNA from 1 species